rnacentral:rRNA from 1 species
CGUGUAGGCUGAAAGUCAAGUCAGGUGUGAAAUCCCUGGGCUCAACCUAGGAACUGCAUCUGAAACUGGCUAUCUAGAGUGUCGGAGAGGGAAGCGGAAUUCCGGGUGUAGAGGUGAAAUUCGUAGAUAUCCGGAGGAACACCGGUGGCGAAGGCGGCUUCCUGGACGAUUACUGACGCUGAGACGCGAAAGCGUGGGGAGCAAACA